rnacentral:lncRNA from 1 species
UUGAUGAUGCCAUCUGUGGUGAGUGCGUCUCCUUCUCCACUGUAAAAUAUUUGCUUUAAAUUGUCAGCAUAAUAAAUCGUCAUCUGUUCCAGGUUCGGAAGGCUUGGAGACAUGGAGACAGGGAAGACAUAUUCCAGUUUACCACACCGUUCUAUGAAGAUAUUUUUUAAUUGUGGGAAGCAAGGAGACUCUGGAAUUAUUUCCCUUUCACCAUCCUCUUCUCUGAUAAUAUGCUUCAAUUCACCGCAUUCACUUAUCUCAAGUAUUUCUAGCUUUGGCAGACUUCGAGCGAGAGACGGUGUGAGGAUAAAUAUCAGUUUGUCGAGAGAAUUCAAAUACAGAUGAGCAAGACUUUGGAGGCUGAUAUGUCUGGUGGGCCCCUUCCAAAUGCAUUUGAGCUCAGGUAAACGUGACAGCCGUAACCCUGUUAAAGAUGACAGAAGCGGCAGCUCCUUCUCCUCCCUACUUCCUUCAUCAGGCUCACCUAAUUCAAAUACCUCUUCCAAUGAUUUGCAGCCGUUAAUGUUCACACUGCUUAGAUUUUUCACAGCUCGCAGCAAUUUUGCUGGAAACGGAGUGCGAACAUCCCCACAAUCGUCCACUGCUACAGAUUUUAAUCUUUGUAAGAAGCCGUUUUGCUGCACAUGGACGGCCAUCUUAUCAGAGAACAAUAUUAUAUUUUUUCACUCUCAUGAAAACAAUUUAUAUGAUGUAUAAAUAGGAGAAAAAAAAAAUAAAAAACAGGAUUAAAUACUUCUUAGAGAUUACAUAUUAUUGUUUCAGUUUUUUUUUUUUUCUUAAUUGGAGAUAAGUUGAAUAAUAAUUAGAUUUUUGCGAAAAAAGGGUUAAUACAACUCCUAAUAUAAUAUAAAUUACGUAAACCAUGAGGCAGUUAAAUCUAACAGAAAAUAUAUUUCAAAUGAGGCAGUUAAAUCUAACAGAUAAUAUGUUCUUCCAUAUGAUUAAUUUUUAAUAACGCAGACAACAAUGAGGCAGUUAAGUUUCUUAUAUUUAUAUAUGUUUAGAUAAAAAUAAAAAUGAGCAUUUAUCAAUUACUUUACUUUUAGAAAUUGGGAGGAAGAAAGAAUAAAUUAUCGCAAUUGACAAUUUAAAUUAAGUGGAGAAAUAUAAAUUACGUACUUGUAGCUGUGCCAACCAAUUACCCACUUCUUCGUGGCCUUUAAUGUUUAGAUUCUGCAAAGAAGGCAAUUGAAAAUCAAAAUUCCUUGGACCUAUAAAGCCGUAAUUUGAUCGGAGCCCAAGAGACAAUUCUCUUAGUUGAGGGAACUUGAUGAUGCCAUCUGUGGUGAGUGCAUCUCCUUCUCCACUGUAAAAUAUUUGCUUUAAAUUGUCAGCAUAAUAAAUCGUCAUCUGUUCCAGGUUCGGAAGGCUUGGAGACAUGGAGACAGGGAAGACAUAUUCCAGUUUACCACACCGUUGUAUGAAGAUAUUUUUUAAUUGUGGGAAGCAAGGAGACUCUGGAAUUAUUUCCCUUUCACCAUCCUCUUCUCUUAUAAUAUGCUUCAAUU